ACUACAGUUCAGAUGCUUCCAGGAGGGCUCGCCUAACCUUACUUCCCAAACCUAUACCUCACAGGCUGUUGGUGUCCCCUCUGGAGGACCUGCUCACCAAAAUCCACCACAACUGCUACAGAAGCCCAGCCCAAUCGAGAGCAAUAGCACACAACCUGCCAAUGAAACUUUAUUCCCUGACUUUCAACUGAGCGAAACCGACACAUGGCAGUCUUCAGAUAGGACUUUUAGAAACAAUAGUUUUAGUCUUAAUUCACAAAAGUCAAACAACCUUGUGGACUUGAACAAAUCCAAUGCUAGUUUUAUGCCCAUGCCAUUUCAGUACGGAUACCCAUUGUUAGAGGAGUCAGCCUCUGAUUCCUUUCCCUGUGAUCGAAAUGCACAAGAUUACAUUGAUGUUUCUCGUAAUUCAUUUUCCUUUCCAUCCUCUGCAGAGGGACAUGAGGCCAUGAAAAGUAAUGUACAGUUUGGUAAUGAUCAGGUAGAGGACAGGCAGUCCUACCAGUUACAGCCUAAACCACCCCAGUACAUACAGACACAACAUAGUGUGUCAUCAUCUGUUCCUAGCAAUGAUGAGAGCUCAGUAUCAAACACUCACCAAUCAGAGCAGAGUAAAAGUGUUUCAGAUAAAUCUGAUUCUUUUAGUACAGUAGACAACAGGGACACAGGCUUUGCGGUAGUGGGCAAGAGAGGCUGCCAUCUUAAAAAUGGCACCACCAGCCAGAGAGUUCUUAUUCAAGGCAGUGUUCAUCAUAUUAGGAAUAUUGCACAAGGUUCCAGUUCCCAAAUACAUGUAAUUAGCCCUCCACAUAAUGGUAUUCACGUCAGCCCAGGGCCUCUUGAUAAAAGUGUAAGUAAACACCAUGUCAGGGUAUCACACCCAUGGGAAGGACCAAACAAAGCCUUUCCACCACCACUCAUAGACCAGACUUCUACACCUUACCCCUUUCAGUACCAAUCAGCACCAGAACAGAGACCAAACAGCAAUAAUGGCCAUAUGCCUUGGCAGCAGAUACGCUUCACAACUGCCAUGCCAAACCAAAACAGGACUGAUCUCUCCAGACAACUGAGCAAUCAACAGCUUGCUUUUCUGAUAGGCCCAUCAGACUGGCAAGAUAAUAAGCCACACAAAAACAGCAACCAGAAAGAUUCUAAUAAUUUUCUCAACAAAAAUACAAAUGAGGGCUUCUCAAACCAAA
ensembl:lncRNA